rnacentral:lncRNA from 10 species
GUGACUGGUGGUUGAUUCUGGCUCUUGGCUGGGCUCUUCGCUGAGGCUUUGGUCAUACCAACUACCCAUGGCCUCUCCACGUGGCCAGGGCACCCCACAACACAGUGGCAGUGGUGAGGUGAGUAAGUGUAAUAAUAAUGGUAAUAGCCUCAAUGCGUUUAGUGCUCAGUACACUUCAGGCACUUUACAGAGGAGGAAUGAGGCUCAGCAAGUUAACUAACUUGAUCCAGGCCACACGAUGGUGGAUGACGGCCCUGGUUUGUGGACCUUGGUGGUCUACGGUCACGUUGUACUGCCCACCAUUUUCCAAUGGGAAAAGCGCAGGCUGUGGCCUCCAGCGAGGGGCCUCGGUACCUACAAGUGUGACCUCAAUCCACUCUUUCUCCAGCAACAUCAUGGAAUAAGUCCAUCAAAACCACCUCACCCUCAACGGUACUGUGCCCAAACCUCAAAGUAUUUGUCUAAAAAGCUCUUGCCAUUCUGUUUUACCAGACAAAAUAGAACACACUUGGAACUGUUGUGGUUCUUGGGCAGUUUGAGUACCUGGGAGCAAAUCUG